GGGUGCAGAUCAUACCAGCACUAAUGCACCGGAUCCCAUCAGAACUUCGAAAUUAAGGGUGCUUGGGCGGGAGUAGUACUUGGAUGGGUGACCCCCUGGGAAGUCCUCGUGUUGCACCCC
rnacentral:rRNA from 1 species